rnacentral:lncRNA from 1 species
CUCGAAGGUGCUUUAUCCCAAGAUGAAUAUAGCCAUGAGAAAGGUGCCUCAUCCCAAAAUGAAUAUGCCAAGAUUAUUUUCUCGAAGGUGCUUCAUCCCAAGACGAAUAUAGUCAUGAGAAGGAUACUUCAUCAUCGAGAUGAAUAUAGCCACAAUGACUUCUUUGAAGGUGCUUCAUCUUAAGAUGAAUAUAGUUACAAGAAGGGCACCUCAUCCCAAGAUGAAUAUGCCGCGAUGAUUUUCUCGAAGGUGCUUCAUCCCAAGAUGAAUACAGCCACG